rnacentral:siRNA from 1 species
CGGGUAUUCUGAGAAUCAACGGA